rnacentral:rRNA from 1 species
GACGUAGGAUGCAAGCGUUGUCCGGAUUUAUUGGGCGUAAAGCGUUCGUAGGCGGCACGUUAAGUCUAGUGUUAAAGCCCGGAGCUCAACUCCGGAUCGGCACUGGAUACUGGCGAGCUAGAGUGCGGUAGAGGCGAGGGGAAUUCCAGGUGUAGCGGUGAAAUGCGUAGAUAUCUGGAGGAACACCAGUGGCGUAAGCGCCUCGCUGGGCCGUAACUGACGCUGAGGAACGAAAGCCGGGGGAG